rnacentral:rRNA from 1 species
GACGAACGCUGGCGGCGUGCUUAACACAUGCAAGUCGAGCGGUAAGGCCCUUUCGGGGGUACACGAGCGGCGAACGGGUGAGUAACACGUGGGUGACCUGCCCUCAGCUCUGGGAUAAGCCUGGGAAACCGGGUCUAAUACUGGAUAUGACUCCAUGACGCAUGUUGUGGGGUGGAAAGCCUUGUGCGGCUGAGGAUGGGCCCGCGGCCUAUCAGCUUGUUGGUGGGGUGANGGCCUACCAAGGCGACGACGGGUAGCCGGCCUGAGAGGGCGACCGGCCACACUGGGACUGAGACACGGGCCCAGACUCCUACGGGAGGCAGCAGUGGGGAAUCUUGCGCAAUGGGCGAAAGCCUGACGCAGCGACGCCGCGUGAGGGAUGACGGCCCUCGGGUUGUAAACCUCUUUCAGCUCCGACGAAGCGAGAGUGACGGUAGGAGCAGAAGAAGCACC